CCUACGGGAGGCAGUAGUGGGGAAUAUUGGACAAUGGGGGGAACCCUGAUCCAGCCAUGCCGCGUGUGUGAAGAAGGCCCUCGGGUUGUAAAGCACUUUCAGUGAGGAAGAAUGCCUGGUGGUUAAUACCCAUCAGGAAAGACAUCACUCACAGAAGAAGCACCGGCUAACUCCGUGCCAGCAGCCGCGGUAAUACGGAGGGUGCGAGCGUUAAUCGGAAUUACUGGGCGUAAAGCGCGCGUAGGUGGCUUGAUAAGCCGGUUGUGAAAGCCCCGGGCUCAACCUGGGAACGGCAUCCGGAACUGUCAAGCUAGAGUGCAGGAGAGGAAGGUAGAAUUCCCGGUGUAGCGGUGAAAUGCGUAGAGAUCGGGAGGAAUACCAGUGGCGAAGGCGGCCUUCUGGACUGACACUGACACUGAGGUGCGAAAGCGUGGGUAGCAAACAGGAUUAGAUACCCCGGUAGUC
rnacentral:rRNA from 1 species